AGUGAACGCUGGCGGUAGGCCUAACACAUGCAAGUCGAACGGCAGCACAGUAAGAGCUUGCUCUUACGGGUGGCGAGUGGCGGACGGGUGAGGAAUACAUCGGAAUCUACUUUUUCGUGGGGGAUAACGUAGGGAAACUUACGCUAAUACCGCAUACGACCUACGGGUGAAAGCAGGGGAUCUUCGGACCUUGCGCGAUUGAAUGAGCCGAUGUCGGAUUAGCUAGUUGGCGGGGUAAAGGCCCACCAAGGCGACGAUCCGUAGCUGGUCUGAGAGGAUGGUCAGCCACACUGGAACUGAGACACGGUCCAGACUCCUGCGGGAGGCAGCAGUGGGGAAUAUUGGACAAUGGGCGCAAGCCUGAUCCAGCCAUACCGCGUGGGUGAAGAAGGCCUUCGGGUUGUAAAGCCCUUUUGUUGGGAAAGAAAAGCAGCAGGUUAAUACCCCGCUGUUCUGACGGUACCCAAAGAAUAAGCACCGGCUAACUUCGUG
rnacentral:rRNA from 1 species